rnacentral:rRNA from 1 species
UACCAGCACCCCGAGUGGUCGGGACGUUUAUUGGGCCUAAAGCAUCCGUAGCCGGUUCUACAAGUCUUCCGUUAAAUCCAACUGCUUAACAGGUGGGCUGCGGAAGAUACUAUAGAGCUAGGAGGCGGGAGAGGCAAGCGGUACUCGAUGGGUAGGGGUAAAAUCCGUUGAUCAAUUGAAGACCACCAGUGGCGAAGGCGGCUUGCCAGAACGCGCUCGACGGUGAGGGAUGAAAGCUGGGGGAGCAAACCGG